rnacentral:rRNA from 1 species
UACGGAGGGAGCUAGCGUUGUUCGGAAUUACUGGGCGUAAAGCGCACGUAGGCGGCGAUUCAAGUCAGAGGUGAAAGCCCGGGGCUCAACCCCGGAACUGCCUUUGAAACUAGAUCGCUAGAAUCUUGGAGAGGUCAGUGGAAUUCCGAGUGUAGAGGUGAAAUUCGUAGAUAUUCGGAAGAACACCAGUGGCGAAGGCGACUGACUGGACAAGUAUUGACGCCGAGGUGCGAAAGCGUGGGGAGCAAACAGG